rnacentral:rRNA from 1 species
CACCUUGUGCUGGGCCCAGGUGGUGUCAGGAUGAGCGCCCCCACCCGGUAAAUCAUAGAGUAAACGCCACUGGACUCCUGUGGUAGCCGUGUAUAGGUCCCUAUACUACAUACCACGAGGGGGGGCGGCUAUAGGCCCAAACCCGCUGGAAGAACCCGGGUUUGUUCGAUAUCUGGGAGACAGACACAGCGCGCGCCCCCCCCCGG